rnacentral:rRNA from 2 species
UACAGAGGGGGCAAGCGUUGUUCGGAAUUACUGGGCGUAAAGGGCGCGUAGGCGGCCCGCUAAGUCGAACGUGAAAUCCCCGAGCUCAACUCGGGAACUGCGUCCGAUACUGGUGGGCUUGAAUCCGGGAGAGGGAUGCGGAAUUCCAGGUGUAGCGGUGAAAUGCGUAGAUAUCUGGAGGAACACCGGUGGCGAAGGCGGCAUCCUGGACCGGCAUUGACGCUGAGGCGCGAAAGCUAGGGGAGCAAACGGG